GAAUGACAUCUGCAGAGCCUGAGUCUCACAGCAAGGGCGGCACUUGAGGCAAUAUGUUAAGCACCAGCUCCCUCUGGCAUGACCUCGGCGGCGUUCUCAGAGACCCAGCUACACCUGGCUUCUGCCUGUGUUCCAGGCCAGGUUCCCCAACCUUCUUGUUGAUUCCAUAAGCUGCUCAACGUCCUUCCAGUAAAUUCCUCUUCUACUUUAGAGUUGUUUUCUGUUUAACCAAAAAUACAGAAAGAUACAAUGGGACUGUGGAAGGGGUUCACCAACAUGGAAAAGAAGCAAAAGCCUCUGGAAGUGAGACCUCACCUCCAAAGAAGCCACUGCCCUGGGCCCCACAGUUCAGAGAGCUCUGUAUAACACAAACACACACAUCAGGUUUAUCAAAGGCCAUGUGGGCACCUCUGCCACUUGGGCUUUCAUGCUCAGUGUGUAUGGCUUGGCCACCACCAAAACAUUAAGACAACCAGCUCCUCUCGGCUUCCUACAAGUGCGUCCCUAGGCUCUGUGUCCUCAAAACAAAAAGCAAGCACAAACUGGCUGCCAUGAAGUUUUCUGGGUGGUGUCCACCACAGACACAAAGACAGCUUCAGAAUGCAGGAAGGGGCUGAGCAGCAUAAGCACUUAACAGAGAAAACAAAUUAAUUAACUUCUCAAAUCCUUUCCACUUGGCAUUAAUGUGAUAGAUUCUUGCAUAACGAAAUAUCAUUUCCCAGUUGUGCCAAGUGUCCAAUUUUGUGUUCUAAUUCAUGGUCCUGGAGCUACUCACUGUGUUAAAGCAAUUUGAUUUAAUUUAGACAAGACAGAUGAGAUGCCUUGGAAGAGUUAAGUGAAAACAAUGGAAGAUUCUCAAAUGUGAGUGAAUUGUGGUCCUUAGUGGAAAAUGAAAUUACUUUAGUAUUUGCACCAUCCACAUUAUAUGGAGUGAACUUUAUGAAAG
rnacentral:lncRNA from 1 species